rnacentral:rRNA from 1 species
UACGUAGGGGGCGAGCGUUGUCCGGAGUUACUGGGCGUAAAGGGCACGCAGGCGGUCGUGUAGGUGUGGGUUGACAGCUCCCGGCUUAACUGGGAGAGCGACGCGCAAACGGCACGACUCGAGGGCCAGAGAGGAACCGAGAAUUCCGGGUGGAGCGGUGAAAUGCGUAGAGAUCCGGAGGAAUACCAAAGGCGAAGGCAGGGUUCUGGCUGGUCCCUGACGCUCAGGUGCGAAAGCGAGGGGAGCCAACGGG